rnacentral:rRNA from 1 species
UACGAAGGGGGCUAGCGUUGCUCGGAAUCACUGGGCGUAAAGGGUGCGUAGGCGGGUCUUUAAGUCAGGGGUGAAAUCCUGGAGCUCAACUCCAGAACUGCCUUUGAUACUGAAGAUCUUGAGUUCGGGAGAGGUGAGUGGAACUGCGAGUGUAGAGGUGAAAUUCGUAGAUAUUCGCAAGAACACCAGUGGCGAAGGCGACUCACUGGACAUCUGUUGACGCUGAGGUGCGAAAGCGUGGGGAGCAAACAGG